AUCUGCAUGCAAAGCGAUACGCAAGUCAGACUCCGUAAGCAAAAGAUAAUAACCGAAAAAGAGUUCAUAGAGAUGUACUUGAGAAAAUAUUGCAGUAACGAUUUUAGUAACUCGCUGUCGUUCUUCUUUCCAUAUAAGAACUUUCUCUUCUCAAUUUCAAUUUCUGCCAAAUGUGGACCCCUUAAGUUACUAUUCUCAGUAUCUCUCUGUAACUUCUGCACCAAUUCUGAAGCACUUGAUAUUCGAGAAUCAAACUGCAUGUUGACAAAGAAAUUGGAUUUUAUAUAUAUGCCAGAAGUUAAGAAAAUAAACAAAGGAACACGAACUGGGAUUUUAAGUCUGGCAAGAGGUUAGUAUUAUCACCAUUUCUUCUGUAAGGUGAGAAAACUUGCAUUCUAUGUUUUUAGUUGGAUGAAUUUGAUCAAUAUCGUCAAAGAAUUUCCACAUGCUGUCAUCUUCAAACAAACAGCCGAGAUAUUGUAGGAAACACUCCCAAUCAUCUGGACUGCCAAGCGAACAAAAAAAACAUGUCAGCAUACCGACAGAAACAAUCGAAAGAUCAAUCCGGAAAGAGAGCCAACUCUGAAAACACUGAGUACACUGUGGCGGGGAGUGUGUUUGCCUCGGAAGGCUCGGUGUUAGUAGUACAGCAACAGGUGAGGAACCAGAAGGGUAGUGGUUUCUUGAAUGGCAAGUUUGAUUACAAGAAGUUAGUGUCUCAUUGGUCUUGUAAUAAUUGUUAGUUAGGACAUAUUGCUUAACUGAUUAGGUUUCUUUUUGUUUUGUACAUUCUGUAUUUUUGGGAUGAUUUUGCUUUCUAAACAAAAUUUGUAUCCAAGUUCAUUGUACAAGCUAAUAAAUUCCAAUGUAGAAGAAGCUUCAGUUGGUUGAUCAAUUUGUUUUUCAUUUUUUUUUUUAUUAUAUGCAGCUACAUUGUUAGAAUUUCACGGAUAUUUCACUAAUAAAAUAAAUAAAUAAAAUUAUUUUUUAUAAGAAAUUUGUAGGUAAAAAAACUUAAAAUAUUAAUGAAAAUUGAGUAAUUAUUUUAAAUGAUUUAUUUAAUUUAAAUAUAUAACUAAGAACUUUUGGCAAUAAAAAUACUCCAAAAACAUCUUCAUAUAUAUGUUUUCAAAAGUUAUUCUGAAACAAAAAUAAGAAAAAAUAUAUAGGUAUCUUGAAAUUUUGUAAAAAUAUUUUAUAUGUUUAUGAGAUAUUAUAUAAUAAUAAUAAUUUUUUGAGAUUGACAAAAAAAAAAAAAAAUAAUUUUUUGAGAUACUUAUAAAUUAUUUUUAUAUUUAUGAAUCAUUAUAGUUUAAUUAUAUUUUGAAAACUUGGAUAUUAGAGAUAGAAGUGUUUAAAGUGAUUCUACAAAUUGUUAAAUAACAAAGCCCAAUGGGCCAUUAUAGAGUGAACCAGACUAUUUCUUGAUAAGACUGUAUACCACUCUAAGUCUCUAACGCCGCUGCCCUUCCACCGUCGCCGGUACACUGAAUCGUCUUUAGCGGUAUGGAGGAAGACAUGGCAAACCGUCGAGUCUCGAGCCGUACUCGUAAGGUUGCUACGAAGAUGGCGGCAGCUCUUACAAGCACCGACAAUCGAACCCAGGUGUCUUGUCUGAUUUCGAAAUCACUUUUUGAUUUUUUUUUUCUUGGCAAUGAGACUUCGUUUGUGUUUGGUUAAUUCUAGGCUGCUAUAGCUAGGCUGGAAGCUUUAGAGAACGACAAUGGAGCCGUCGAGGUGGUUGAUUUGAACGAUGAUGAAGAAGCCUCUCUCGACGAAGACGAUGAUCUCGGUGAAUAAUCUUUAGAUACUCGCUGUGAUUAUGUAGGUCUUCUAGUUUUCAGUCAUGUGUUUGGUUUGUUGCAGGUUACGUGCAGAAGAAGCAGCAGAAAGGAUCAAAGCGUAAAACUCGACAAGCAAAAGCUUUGGAGGCUCGUAAAGCUCCCAAGUCCUUCACUGAGCUCUUGCAGGAGGUAAUGUAAUCAGCUCUUUGUUUAUCGUUUCUGCAGCUGAGAUCAAGCUAAUAUGGGUUCACUUUCAGGCAAAUUUGGAAUCUUUACCGUCGCAUGUCCCCACUUACUUGAAAGCAGCAGUGGGACCUCCGACUUCGUCUUCUCGCCGCCAUUUCUGCACGGUCUGUGGGUACAUUGCAGGAUACAAUUGCUGCUUAUGCGGGAUGCGUUUUUGUUCUAUCCGUUGCCAAAACAUUCACAAGGACACUCGUUGUCAGAAGUUUGUUGCAUAGGAGAAUAGAUGUAAAACAUUUUUUUCAAAAAUUGUACUGAAACAUCACCACAUCAACGUGUGUUUUGUCAAGAAUGAGAAUGAAAUAGCCAAACAAAAAGCAGCGACGUUUCUCUCUAACGUGUUCUUAUGAUUUAAGAGGACCAAUCAAACAUGGGACAUCUGUUGUUUGAGCUUUUCCAGUAGCUUUCUCUUAGAUCCGCAGAUUUGGUGAAACUCACGGAGGACUCUCUGUUGCGCGGUGACUGUUUUACGUGCUGAGUCUGCCUUGCUCCAUGUUUUUAGUGAUUCAAAGAUGCGGCUACCAACCUCUGACUCUUCGCUGGAUGCGAUGAAACUCUCUAGAACCCCAAGAACCUGUCCCGGUCCUUCAUUCCUCUUCAGAGUUGUCAAAAAUCUCUCCACUUGAUCAUCUUCCGGGUUGUUGAUUUGAUUCAGUAGCCAGUUAGAAACUUCUUGUACUGUGCUGCAUAAGGAAUGUAUAGAAUCUUUGAUUGCUUGAGACAUCGGGGAGGAAGGUAAAUGAUCCGAAUGUUGCGCUUUCUUCUUCUUCUUCCCAGAUGGGAGAGACGAGCGGGUGCAAGCCUGAAUUACAAGACUGUGCCAAGCCAACGGUUCAGUGAUGAUCUGAACCAAGACCUGCACAUCAGAAUAGCAAGAAUUCAUCUGUGAAGAUCCCAUUGAUUUGAUUCUGUCCAGAAUAAGCCUCUCAAAUAGCAAGUUCAACACAUGCCAAUGCUCUUGGGAACUCAGGCUCCAAGCAUUCCAAAACACGGCAAAAUUCAACCAGUCAACAAGAUCUGAACCGAGCGUCUGCAGAGUUUUCCCACAAAGUCAAUAACAUUAAGACCAGUUGACAUGAGUGCACGUGGAAAGAGUAGAAUAAGCUAACCUCAAAAGUCCUUGCACCCUGUGAGAUCUCUGUGAUCAUCUCUACAGCGUCACUGAAAGAAGAUCCCAACGUUUUGGUGUACUCCUCCAGCAAAGACUUAAGUUCUUCGCAGGUUUUGAGGUCACCUCCAGACCCUUUGGUUUCAAGACUCUCCUUUAAUGCCGUUGCCGAACACUGAAUAGAGAGGUAUACCAUCCGAGGUAGAAGGGAUUUUCUCUGGAUGGAUCGUUUCACGUUUUCUUCACGAUCUUUGUUCUAUAGACAUGUAACAAUUACAAACAUUACUAAAUUGCAUCGGUCCCAAGUACAAGAGAAAGUGUAUUGAUACAGACAAACGUACCACAUUCUCUUUGGGACAGUAAGAAAAAUCUUCAAAUGAACCUACAGACGUUGUUGAUUGAUAUUAAGAAUAGCACCACAACAACAAAAAAAAUAAACAACUAAUAUAGUGAAGGAAAUACUUACCUAAUAGAUAGUUUUUCUCAGGACAAGGUGUCCACCAUGGUCGUGUUUGCAUAUCUUCAUUGAACCUCAGUGUCCUUGAUCCCAUUUCGUUCGAGAGCUCCACAAGUUGAACUCCAGAUUUCAGGUUUUCAAGAACGCGCUAGAUACAACAAGAAUACAUGCAGAGUUAGAUAUUAUUAUGAGAGGAUCAAAUAAAUGGACAUAAUUUACAGGACAAGGAUAUUGCAUUUGUUACCUCUUCUUCCUCGAUGCUAUCUGCAUUCUGCUUCAAUUGCAAUAGAGACGCUUCAACCCUCGCAGCUUCGUACUGGUUUGACUGCUGCAGUCUUUGUUUGAAUAGGACAAAUUCGAUAACCUGAGAUUUGGAUAAUUCAGAUAAGUCACGACAGUAACCAAAUGUACACGGGGAGAUGGUAACGUAGAGAAAUUCAAUAUGUUUACUUUUGAGUAAUUUCUGUGGCGGUAAGCAAGGAAUGUAAGGUCUGCUGACUCUUUCAAAUGAUCAUCCAUAAACUUGAGAUAGUCUUGUAGGAGGUUAUUUAAAUCUACCCACAUGGGGGAUUCCAACAUUUGGCAAAGAAUAUGGUGUGAAACCGUUUCCGUCAAGAUGUUCUUCACAUCCAGAGCUUUAUACCUAACAGAAGGCAAACAGGUGGUUCAGUAAAACUAGCUGAAGAAGGUUUUAUUUUCCAGGAAAAAAAAAGUAAAAAUGAGAGCUAUGAAUACCGUUCAAAUGCAAGUGGAAGAGCACCAAUAUAUGAAUAUAUGUGUAACAGCAAGAUCUUGUACUGCCAGACAUGUCUGUGAAAACAAAAGGUAAUCAUCAAGUGGCACUGUUAGAAACUCAAAUCAACGUUUUCAUAGCUAUAACAAUUAGUUACUGACCCUCGGAUUGACAAGCCCAACUCAAGAACCAUGAUAGCCUCAGCAAGAUAGCAAAAAUCUCGAGUACGCCAGUAUAACUGGAAACAACAGCAAGGUUACUUAUAUAUAUAACAACUGGUUAUGCAGUAUCGGGGAAGCAUGCAACACAACCAAAGUACCUGGACCAACAUGUUGCUAAUCAAAGAUAGAAGUUCUUCCCCAAACAUACUCUCUUGAGGAUCCAAGUCCUUGGAAAGCGGAAGAUUUUGACAGUAUAACUUCGCCAGUUUGACUGCAGAGGCUUCAAUCUCUACAUAUUGGAAUGAAAGAUGGAAUUAUAAACCGAUGCAGAACACAUGCAGAGCAACUAGAUUGCAAUAAUAAGAAACCCACAUAGUGGAGGCAACAGGAAACUAUGAUGGAAAAUGAUGCAUUACACUGUACACCAAAACAGAGAGAUGUCAUAUGCACAAAAGAGUCGCACAGCUUGUAGAUUCAAAACUGAAUCUUCAUAAGGAGAAAACAUGGAAAAUUUUCAGAAGAAGGUAUGUGAGCAAAGAGAACACACCGCCAAGAGGAAGCUCAAAAACGUUUCCAGUCAGUUCUUGAACUUUGAGUAUGGUUGUUGUUUGACCAAGCACUGUGGUUGCUGAUGCAGAAACCGAGUCAGCAUUUUCCACUAACAUUCCGACAAACUCUGCCAUUUUAUGAGGGGGUAAUACUUGUAGGAAUGCUUCAACGUCGGAAGCAUAGCAAGCUAAAUGACCAAAUCUGCAUGCAAAGCGAUACGCAAGUCAGACUCCGUAAGCAAAAGAUAAUAACCGAAAAAGAGUUCAUAGAGAUGUACUUGAGAAAAUAUUGCAGUAACGAUUUUAGUAACUCGCUGUCGUUCUUCUUUCCAUAUAAGAACUUUCUCUUCUCAAUUUCAAUUUCUGCCAAAUGUGGACCCCUUAAGUUACUAUUCUCAGUAUCUCUCUGUAACUUCUGCACCAAUUCUGAAGCACUUGAUAUUCGAGAAUCAAACUGCAUGUUGACAAAGAAAUUGGAUUUUAUAUAUAUGCCAGAAGUUAAGAAAAUAAACAAAGGAACACGAACUGGGAUUUUAAGUCUGGCAAGAGGUUAGUAUUAUCACCAUUUCUUCUGUAAGGUGAGAAAACUUGCAUUCUAUGUUUUUUGUUGGAUGAAUUUGAUCAGU
rnacentral:lncRNA from 1 species